ACGACUACAUAUCAGGCAUAUCAAUAAGCGGAGGAAAAGAAACUAACAAGGAUUCCCCUAGUAACGGCGAGUGAAGCGGGAAGAGCUCAAAUUUGAAAUCUUCAAGGUUUUACCUUGACGAAUUGUAGUUUAAAGAAGUGUUUUCGGUUAGAGGAGUUUAGUAAAAGUUCUUUGGAAUAGGACAUCAUAGAGGGUGAGAAUCCCGUAUUUGACUAUUAUUUCCUAGCUUUGUGAUACACUUUCAAAGAGUCGGAUUGUUUGGGAAUGCAGUCCAAAAUGGGUGGUAAAUUUCAUCUAAAGCUAAAUAUUGGCGAGAGACCGAUAGCGAUCAAGUACCGUGAGGGAAAGAUGAAAAGAACUUUGAAAAGAGAGUUAAACAGUACGUGAAAUUGUCAAAAGGGAAGCGUUUGACACCAGUGUUGUUUCUAGCGAAAAUCAAUUUAUGAUGGCUUGAUGCUAAGCUUUAAGACUUUAUCCGCUUGUUGUUUAGUUUUCUUGUCUUUGUGAAUGCACUUUUCGUGGAACAAGUCAACAUCAAUUUCUUUUGCUGUAAAAGGGUAAGAGGAAGGUGGCUUCGGCUUCGGUUGAAGUGUUUAUAGCCUUUUAUCUCUGCAGUCGGAGAGAUUGAGGUCUGCAGCGUAGACUCUUCGGGGUUAGAUACGUCGGUGCUAAGCUAUAGCUUUUCAUAGACAACUUGUUGACUAUGUUUAGUCAUGUGGCUUACCCGCUGGCGCUAUCUUACCUACGCUUAGGAUGUUGACACACGCGCGUGCUCG
rnacentral:rRNA from 1 species